CCCACCCAAUACCCUGAUUUGGUCAUAUAGGCUCCACUCUUGUUGUACUUCCAACUUUGAAAUCCUCCUCUCCCACUGCUACUUUGAUCUUCAAGAUGAGGUGAACAUCUUCAGGGUAAAAGAUAUCAUUUAAAGUUGCAAGAUCCCAGUCUCUUGUCUGUGGAUUAAGGAGGCUAGAUACCCGUAAAUCUAUGUUGAUAAACUGGUUCUUCAUCAAGGGUGCUCUCAUCCAUACUCUAUCAUUCAGCCAGGGAGACGCCCAUACCAGAAACUUAGAUCCCGAUCCAAUCCUUUGCUUCAGUCCUUUAUCAAACGGUUCUUUUCCAAACAUAAUGCUUCUCCAUCCAUAGGAAGGUCUAGACCUCAUACUUGCCUCAUCAAAGGUCUUCCCAUCAAAAUAACGGCUUCUAAGGAACCUGGAGAGAAGGCAUUCCGAGUCAUUCAACAGCUUCCAAGCCUGUUUUGCCAGUAAGGCUUGGUUGAACAAGUGAAUAUCUUUGAACCCAUCCCUCCUAGACUCUUCAGCAAGCACAUUUUCUUCCAACUCAGCCAGUGGAUCUUCUUCUUGUCUUCCAUUGAAGUCCACCCGUAUAUUCAGAACCGGCCCUAAGUGGAAUCAGACUAAACCCUUGCUUCCGGCUGACAUAAAAUGCAUAUUUAUUCAUCUCUUUCUUGUUUUUUUUAUUCAGAACCGGUCCUAAGUGGAAACAGACUAAACUCUUGCUUCCGGCUGACAGAAAAUAAGUAAUUUUUUUCCCAACGAGAUUUAUUAAAGGACAUAGACCGAGAACAAGAAACUACAACACGGCCCAUUACAAACCAACCAACGGUCAAAGUUAAAGGGCCCAAAAACAAACAGCAACGCAAAACGAAAGAGCUAAGCCUACAACCCUACAAGCCCAAACACACAGCGGAGACCACUAAUCUUAUCCUCGACGCUGAGGACACGUGUCACCCAUCGCUUCAACCUUUCCACCGCCGACGAUCUAACCAUCGUUUCACCAGCGACUCACCAUCACAAACACCUUCAUCGUCUGACAAACUUCAGCGGAGAGCAUCCAUCAAACCCAAUUGAGAUCUCAUCCGGUCGCCAAGCUUUCAGACACGAUCUUUAACCUAGAUCUGAAAUCGAUCCCUUCCUUACGUAGGCUUCAUCUUCGGAGAGCAUCGAUCAAUCUCUAUUGGGAUCUCAUCCAGAGAAACAAAGCCGACAAAGAGUAGAUUGAAGGGUAACGAGACCACCACACACAUAGGAACUAUCCUGGAGCCGGCGGCGCAGAGCUGAAGAAGCCUCCACCCCCGGAAACUUAGACAGCGACGGCGAAGCUGCAGAAGCCUCCACCCCCCGGACACUUAGCCGAUGGCUACAGAGAUAUAUGAGCCUCCGCAUCCCGGAGCUUUACCACCUCAUAUCAAAAUCCAAACAGAAAGGAGAAGAGGAAGCCUUUCCCUCGCAAACCAGACAUGCAAAAGAAAAGAAAAAAGAAAACCAUAACCGGACCGACGGUAGCUGUGAGAGCCCCGACGUCGGCCGGAAAAAGAACUCAUGGCACCUUUCUCUCUCUAGCUCUAGCUCUCGACUCUCUCGAUGGUUAACUUUCUGAGAAUAAGUAAUUUUUGGUUGUAUGUUUCCAAUAAGUUUAUAUUUAUAUAAAGUUAAGUUUGCUCUCUCCUGAGCUAUGCCACAUAGGAUGACAGGCUGGAAACUCAUUUCAUAGAAUAGUGACACGUGUCCAAAGGAAACCGCAGCGUUCAUCGCUCCUCUUCAUGCGACAGCUAGGCGUGACGAUUGCGAUUCUUCUCACGACUGUAACAUCUGAUUAAUUGAUUCCUGAUUAAUCUUCUUGAUUCAUGCUUCCACGAGGUGUCUUCAAAGCGUUGUUUGGAUCUGAGAGCCGGCGUGAAAUAUGUGGGUCGUUCAUUAUUCAGAAAGGAAUCAAAACUGAAACGUUGGAGAUGAUGAGGUUGCUUGAGCAUCAUGAUCACAUUCGGUUGAUUGGAUUGAAGUAAAAAAACAUCUUUCUAUCUUCAAAUCAGAAUUAGGUUAGAGCCAGCCAUUUUUGAUUCUUUGUGCUACUGAUAAGAUCAAAUUCUGCUCAUGAAACAUGUGUUUCUGUUUCUUAUUACGGAAAAUCUUGAAGACCAACUUAGGGUGAGUUAGAUGAGUUAAAAGCUUAGUUUCAUAUCUUCGCUCUAUAUCAAAAUAUGGAAAGUUGCAAUGCUACAGCUGCAGAUGAAUGUAAAUCAGGGGAAGCUAAAAUCAGAAAACAGAAACAUGAUUUUGCAAAGCUUGUUUUUGGAAAGAGUUGUGAGGUACCUUCUCUUGAAGCCAGAUUUGUGUGGUAUGAAUUCAAACGCAUGAAAGGUAGAGUGGAUCGAAACUCAUAAACGCAUCAUAGGAGAACAGCAGGAAGAGAUUCAAUCAACUAAGAAACUUGAGAAGUCCCAAUAACAUCAGCUCAUGGAGAAGCCAUUUCAGCGGGGACUGAUGAAAAUUCUGUCUACAUAGAUUGGAACAAGUGGAAGAUUAGUAGUCACGUUAAAAAUGAUAUUGCUUAUGUUUGGGAGGAUUAAGAAGAUGAGUGAUAUGGCUGAUUAUGCUUUCCUUCGGUUCUGAUGAAUAAAGUAGGUUCAGAACUUACUUCAAGUUUAUGCAUAGAUCUUAUUCAUGCUUACUCUGUUAGAGUGAUGAAGCUAAGAUGCAAGAUGAAGGGCCAUCUUAUAAAAGGACAAGAAUCUUACUGUUUUCUAAGUCAUUGAUCUAUACUUUAAACCAUUAUUGAAUGAUA